UGGGGAUUAUUGGACAAUGGAGGGAACUCUGAUCCACCAAUCCUGUGUGUGUGAAGAAGGUUUUAGGACUGUAAAACACUUUUAGUAGGGAAGAAAAAAAUGACGGUACCUACAGAAGAAGCAACGGCUAAAUACGUGCCAGCAGCCGCGGUAAUACGUAUGUUGCGAGCGUUAUCCGGAAUUAUUGGGCUUAAAGGGCAUCUAGGCGGUAAGACAAGUUGAAGGUGAAAACCUGUGGCUCAACCAUAGGCUUGCCUACAAAACUGUUGAACUAGAGUACUGGAAAGGUGGGUGGAACUACACGAGUAGAGGUGAAAUUCGUAGAUAUGUGUAGGAAUGCCGAUGAUGAAGAUAACUCACUGGACAGAAACUGACGCUGAAGUGCGAAAGCUAGGGGAGCAAACAGG
rnacentral:rRNA from 1 species